rnacentral:rRNA from 1 species
UACGUAGGGUGCAGGCGUUAAUCGGAAUUACUGGGCGUAAAGCGUGCGCAGGCGGUUUGCUAAGACAGGUGUGAAAUCCCCGGGCUUAACCUGGGAACUGCGCUUGUUACUGGCAGGCUUGAGUGUGGCAGAGGGGGGUGGAAUUCCACGUGUAGCAGUGAAAUGCGUAGAGAUGUGGAGGAACACCGAUGGCGAAGGCAGCCCCCUGGGUCAACACUGACGCUCAUGCACGAAAGCGUGGGGAGCAAACAGG